rnacentral:rRNA from 1 species
UACAUGGGGUGCAAACGUUGCUCGGAAUUAUUGGGCGUAAAGCGCACGUAGGCGGUUUGUUAAGUCGGAUGUGAAAUCCCUCGGCUCAACUGAGGAAGUGCACCCGAAACUGGCAGGCUUGAGUACUAAAGAGGGUCGCGGAAUUCCCGGUGUAGAGGUGAAAUUCGUAGAUAUCGGGAGGAACACCGGUGGCGAAGGCGGCGACCUGGGUGGAUACUGACGCUGAGGUGCGAAAGCGUGGGAGCAAACAGG